CCCUGUAUUCAGAAGCAAUUAUGGGCUGCUUGUGCCCUGGUCAUAGAUACUGCAGGGAAAGAUAGAUACUGCUGAAAGCCUUACCCUGUUAUUUGGAAGGUCCGUUCCUGUCCUUGCCAAACCCUGGUGCUUUGGAACA
rnacentral:snoRNA from 1 species